rnacentral:rRNA from 1 species
UACGGAGGGGACUAGCGUUGUUCGGAAUUACUGGGCGUAAAGCGCACGUAGGCGGAUUUGUAAGUCAGGGGUGAAAUCCCGGGGCUCAACCUCGGAACUGCCUUUGAUACUGCAAAUCUCGAGUCCGGAAGAGGUGAGUGGAAUUCCUAGUGUAGAGGUGAAAUUCGUAGAUAUUAGGAAGAACACCAGUGGCGAAGGCGGCUCACUGGCCCGGUACUGACACUGAGAUGCGAAAGCGUGGGGAGCAAACAGG